CUACGGGAGGCAGCAGUGGGGAAUCUUCGGCAAUGGGCGCAAGCCUGACCGAGCCAUGCCGCGUGAGCGAUGAAGGCCUUAGGGUUGUAAAGCUCUUUCGCCAGGGAUGAUAAUGACAGUACCUGGUAAAGAAACCCCGGCUAACUCCGUGCCAGCAGCCGCGGUAAUACGGAGGGGGUUAGCGUUGUUCGGAAUUACUGGGCGUAAAGCGCGCGUAGGCGGAUUGGAAAGUUGGGGGUGAAAUCCCAGGGCUCAACCCUGGAACUGCCUUCAAAACUCCCAGUCUUGAGUUCGAGAGAGGUGAGUGGAACUCCGAGUGUAGAGGUGAAAUUCGUAGAUAUUCGGAAGAACACCAGUGGCGAAGGCGGCUCACUGGCUCGAUACUGACGCUGAGGUGCGAAAGUGUGGGGAGCAAACAGGAUUAGAUACCCUGGUAGUCCACACCGUAAACGAUGAAUGCCAGUCGUCGGAUAGCAUGCUAUUCGGUGACACACCUAACGGAUUAAGCAUUCCGCCUGGGGAGUACGGUCGCAAGAUUA
rnacentral:rRNA from 1 species